GACAGAGAGAGUAUGUGUGUCCAGGGAAAUAGAUCUGAAUGGUUGGAGGGGGAGAGACUCUGUGCUAAUCUGUUGUGGGGUAGAUGAGAAGACAUCUGGGGAUUUGGGUGGGAAGUCUGUUCUGGGUGUGAUGUUUGGGUGUGUGGGGGCUUUGUCUUCUGCAAACUGACUAUAACCAAAGACCCUGCGAUGUCACAACUUCAGUGCUGCCUUGCCUUGGUUGUGCUUCCUACCAGCAGCUUCAUCUGCAAAUAGCAGAAGCAGAAAUGAAGUAACUCAAUGAUGCAGUUCCAUAAUUGAUGCUAUACCGAGUUGAUUAUUUUUCCUUGAUGAUGGAUUGAGUGCAGAUUACUGCUUUGAAAACCAGCUGUCCAGUUAUUUUCUGAAGAGAAAUGUCAUAAAGGCUAAAUAUAAAGAAGAAUAUUGUUAUUAAACAAGACACAAUGUCAGUGCAUCCUGAUUGUUUACUCCCGCGUAUACAUUUCACUGUUUGAAAACCUGAUAUCACCAGAUGGCUCUGUAUUAAAAUAGCUACAUCAAUGCGACAGCUGUUGUAAACUAUGUGGUUAUGAUCAAUGGUAGGUUAUUACAGGAACUUAGAUUUAUUAUAUAAAUUAUAUGCUGACAUCUUUUUGUUUUGUUUGAUACUGUUGAUUUAGCACGUGCAUCCCCACGGCUAAUAUUAGCCAACAACAUAACACUAAACAAAUUUGUUCAGCGUAAAUUGGCGACAUUACUCGGGUUUGUUUGUUCCUGAGCUUAGACCUUGGAUGUGAAAAGUCGUUGGUCUGAUUUUUUUUUGUUGUUUCUUAAUUAGAAGUUAUUGAGUAAUUUGCUUCCUGGAGUAGAAAGUCAUGAGAUUGAAAACCAAUGUGUUAUUUGUUAUUUGGUUAGGUUGGAGCAGUUCUGGAUUGUUUAUACAGUACUACUUAGGAAACUUGAAAAUCAGAGAGGACAUUAUACAGCUAACUUGCUUAAAUUGUUCCUAUGCUCAUUGAUCAUAGAACAUUUCUUAUGAAAUGUAGAAGCACUGUAUUUUUUUUUCUGGAGGACUUAUUAGUAAGGAAUUUGGGGUUAAAAUAUAUAAGAUCUUGAAACAAAAUGCCUCUGAGAUGAGAAUUCUGGGGGAUUAGUGGUCUAUUGGUAUUAUCCAUUAAUCUAGAAACCCAGAAGUCCAGAUUAAUAUUCUGGCACAUUGAUUCAUUUCCCACCAUGGCAGCUGGUGGAAUAAAUCUGGAAUUCUAAAAUCGUUUCAUUCUCCAUAAUGAUAAUAACAAAACCAUUAUUGAAAUAUUCUUUGUAGAAGGAAAUCUACUGUCCUUGGGUCUGCAUAGAAUCUAGUUGAUUCUAAACUUUUCUGAAAUGGCUCAAGCCAUUCAGUUCAUAGACAAUAAGCUCUGGCUUCAGUGAAUACCCACAUCCCAUGAAA